rnacentral:rRNA from 1 species
GAUGAACGCUGGCGGCGUGCCUAAUACAUGCAAGUCGAGCGAAUGGAUUAAGAGCUUGCUCUUAUGAAGUUAGCGGCGGACGGGUGAGUAACACGUGGGUAACCUGCCCAUAAGACUGGGAUAACUCCGGGAAACCGGGGCUAAUACCGGAUAACAUUUUGAACCGCAUGGUUCGAAAUUGAAAGGCGGCUUCGGCUGUCACUUAUGGAUGGACCCGCGUGGCAUUAGCUAGUUGGUGAGGUAACGGCUCACCAAGGCAACGAUGCUUAGCCGACCUGGGAGGGUGGUCGGCCACACUGGGACUGAGACACCGCCCAGACUCCUACUGGAGGCAGCAGUAGGGAAUCUGCCGCAAUGGACGAAAGUCUGACGGAGCAACGCCGCGUGAGUGAUGAAGGCUUUCGGGUCGUAAAACUCUGUUGUUAGGGAAGAACAAGUGCUAGUUGAAUAAGCUGGCACCUUGACGGUACCUAACCAGAAAGCCACGGCUAACUACGUGCCAGCCGCCGCGGUAA